AACAUUGUGGUUUAAUUCGAUGAUACGCGAGGAACCUUACCUGGCUUAAAUGUAGAGUGCAUUUUCUAGAGAUAGGAAUUCCCUUCGGGGCUUUCUACAAGGUGCUGCAUGGUUGUCGUCAGCUCGUGCCGUGAGGUGUCGGGUUAAGUCCCAUAACGAGCGCAACCCUUAUCGUUAGUUGCCAUCUGGUAAAGCAGGGGACUCUAGCGAAACUGCCACCGUAAGGUGAGAGGAAGUGGGGAUGACGUCAAAUCAGCACGGCCCUUAUGUCCAGGGCUACACACGUGUUACAAUGGUCGGUACAGAGGGCAGCUACCUGGUGACAGGAUGCUAAUCUCGAAAACCGGCCUCAGUUCGGAUCGAAGUCUGCAACUCGACUUCGUGAAGCUGGAUUCGCUAGUAAUCGCGCAUCAGCCAUGGCGCGGUCGAAUACGUUCCCGGGCCUU
rnacentral:rRNA from 1 species